rnacentral:rRNA from 1 species
AUUGAACGCUGGCGGCAGGCCUAACACAUGCAAGUCGAGCGGAUGAAGGGAGCUUGCUCCUGGCUUCAGCGGCGGACGGGUGAGUAAUUCCUAGGAAUCUGCCUGGUCGUGGGGGCUAACGUCCGGAAACGGGCGCUAAUACCGCAUACGUCCUGAGGGAGAACGUCGGGGAUCUUCGGACCUCACGCUAUCAGAUGAGCCUAGGUCGGAUUAGCUAGUUGGUGGGGUAAAGGCCUACCAAGGCGACGAUCCGUAACUGGUCUGAGAGGAUGAUCAGUCACACUGGAACUGAGACACGGUCCAGACUCCUACGGGAGGCAGCAGUGGGGAAUAUUGGACAAUGGGCGAAAGCCUGAUCCAGCCAUGCCGCGUGUGUGAAGAAGGUCUUCGGAUUGUAAAGCACUUUAAGUUGGGAGGAAGGGCAGUAAGUUAAUACCUUGCUGUUUUGACGUUACCAACAGAAUAAGCACCGGCUAACUUCGUG